UACGUAGGGUGCGAGCGUUAUUCGGAAUUACUGGGCGUAAAGGGUGCGCAGGCGGUCUCGUAAGCUGGGUGUGAAAGCCCCGGGCUUAACCUGGGAAUGGCAUUCAGGACUGCGAGGCUUUGAGUGCGGCAGAGGGAGGUGGAAUUCCACGUGUAGCAGUGAAAUGCGUAGAGAUGUGGAGGAACACCGAUGGCGAAGGCAGCCUCCUGGGCCAGCACUGACGCUCAUGCACGAAAGCGUGGGGAGCAAACAGG
rnacentral:rRNA from 1 species